UUCAACUCAUUUUUAAAUAUAUAAUAUUUUUUUAAAUAUAUAAUAUGUAUCGUUUCACAAUUUUCCCAUUGCCAUCUGAUGUAUGUAUAUUUCAUUAGGGUGGUGGCGGCAAGUGUACGUGAACAAAUCAAACAUACCAAACCGAUAACAGAGUGCAUUAUGGGAAUAUGUGUUUUUCUUAGAAUGUGGAAAAACCUACAAAUCUUGGCUAGUGAGGCCUAUUUAACCUUCAGUGGCACUUUAUGGUGAGUAAAAAUAGCACGACUGCAGCGUUUAUUCCAGUUGCCAUUUUUAACUGCCCUUUAAAAGCCGUGAUAAUUAUUACAUAAACCGCGUGAGGGGUGUUUGAUAGGUGAGACCAGUCUGUCGCUGUUAAUGACCAACAUUCAUCUCCCAGCCGGACGCGGAGCGGGUUUCCAGAGUGGGAGGAAAAUCUUCAUCAUCCAUCCUCUCUCUUCUCCUCUCCCCUGCCCUCCCCUCCUUGCGGUUUUUGUUGAACUCACUUCCAAAUAUGGAAGCGAACGGUGAGCGGCGGCGGCGGUUAGUGCACGCGCCUCGCUCACAGUUUGAGGGAGGGGCCAGGCUGCGACGCUCAUCACCAUAUAAGGAAACAAGGGACCCGAAAUUCGCUGUAGCGGAGUUUUUGUACGGACGGCGUCGGCACGCAGUUAGGGAGAGAGGAGAGGAUAAGGGGCAGAUGUUCAGGCAGAACGAAGCCAGCGUGGAACAUGAGUGACGAGAAUGACACAGGUAAGCCUGCUGGUGGAAACAGCAGAGAAAUGAACAGACCAGAAACGCUGGAUCAACAGUUUGAGGCUCCUGUUUAUUCUCUAUAAAACAGCACUUCUCAAGUUAAAGCCACCAUAUACCUGCAAGAGAUGACUGCAUUAGCUGGGGCUGCAGUGUUGCAUGCAUUUGCUCGCCUUUGGAACAAGCUGUGUACAAAAAGCACCAAAGAGGAGGGGAAGUGCAAUAAUAACUGCUUUUUUUAAAAACAAUUUAAACAGUUCCCUCCUCUCGUGGAAAGAGACAGAAAUGGAAAGUGCAAAAUGAUGGUCAAAAAUCACAAAUAUUCAAUAUCAUAUUCAAUUUGGGAAUUUUUGGCCCUUUACUAUGUGGAUUUGUAUCAUUAAGAGUAAUAUGGAAUCACUGUGAGAAUAAAGCAUCAUUGUACAGCUUUUUGGGUUGUUUUUUUUUUUUUUUAGUAUUAGUUAUUAAAGUGCAUACUGCUGCAUAGUUACAGGAGCCAUCUUCACGUUAUCAUGCACAUUACAUAUUUAGAGAUGUAGGGCAUAGCUACAAAUAAUCAUCGUCCUUUAAUCCACUACCUGAUUUACUCUGAGCUGGCCGGAGCAGCGCCUGCUUGGCCCCACAAAAACAAACUAAAAUACAAUAAAUCCACUGAGUGGUCCAGCUUUUUAUUCCUCAGUAUAACUUGUUGAUUUGCUAAAGAUUAAAUGGUUAACUGGCUGCAUGCAAACAAGGAUGUAAGAAUCAAGUUAGCCCAUAUUGAUUAUUUUUCUUUCGCAGUAAAAGUCUGUCAUUUGAAACGGUAGUUUUGAGCUGAACCGGGAGGCAGAUAAAUCCAAGUUUUACCUCACACAACUUAACAAAUGUUUAAAUUGGUUUUUUUUUAUAGAACAAAUUAAUGCGAAGCAGUUUAAAUAUCCACUUUAGUUACAGCUAUUUUAAAAGUGGGGCUUUUGAAUAGGGUGGGGUGUCACCAUGUUAUCUCUGCUGACAGUAUAGACCAUUACCCGUCACUUAAAACAUCACAAGAUCAUUUGAGGGGAAAGCAUAACUAACAA